CCUACGGGGUGCUGCAGUGGGGAAUAUUGGGCAAUGGGCGCAAGCCUGACCCAGCAACGCCGCGUGAAGGAAGAAGGCUUUCGGGUUGUAAACUUCUUUUCUCAGGGACGAAGCAAGUGACGGUACCUGACGAAUAAGCCACGGCUAACUACGUGCCAGCAGCCGCGGUAAUACGUAGGUGGCAAGCGUUAUCCGGAUUUACUGGGUGUAAAGGGCGUGUAGGCGGGAGAGCAAGUCAGAUGUGAAAUCCAAGGGCUCAACCUUGGACCUGCAUUUGAAACUGUUUUUCUUGAGUACUGGAGAGGCAGACGGAAUUCCGAGUGUAGCGGUGAAAUGCGUAGAUAUUAGGAGGAACACCAGUGGCGAAGGCGGUCUGCUGGACAGCAACUGACGCUGAGGCGCGAAAGCGUGGGGAGCAAACAGGAUUAGAUACCCGUGUAGUC
rnacentral:rRNA from 1 species